AUUAUCUAAUUGAAUAAUUUAACGAUUUCCCCUUCCUAUUUGAUAUUGAUUAACUCACCAAUCCAUAUGUAAUGGAACUCUAUUCGCUUUUCUGAUUGAUAUAGUAAAUAAUUGAUAUAUAAAAUAAUAGAAUUAGGAAAUCCUCUAUUUACUAUAUCAAUCACUGAAUAAUAUCAAUCACUGAAUAAUAACUUUUUUGUUGACAAAAGAAUAAAGAUCAUUUCUAUUCCAAGGUGGGGAGUUUUAUUUUCCCCAUCGACCUA
rnacentral:sRNA from 1 species